AUAUGAGCGGGCAGGAAGCGCCGGGGAGGGAGCGAGGGGAGGGCGCCCGGAGCCGCUCGGCGGGCAGGGCCGGCAGACAGACAGACACACGGACAGACAGACACACACACAGACAGCUCGGCAGCAGCCACAGCAGCGACAGCAGCCACAGCAGCGACCGUCCGUCCCCACGGCCAUGGGGCUCGGCCGGCUCCCCGCACCCCGCCGGAGAGGAAGAUUUGUGCCCUGUGUACGAGAUGACCAAACCUCUGAGCAGAGAGGAGUUGAAUUAUUUCAGGAAACCUGUUAACCUCAUCAAGCUACAUCUGUUUCUCUGGGCCAGUCCCACAGCUCCUUCUGCCAAGUAAUUGCAAGGUAUUUUGGAAUGCAAGAGACACAAAGAGACAAAGUGGUUGAAACCUGCACCUGGGGACAAAUGUUGGAGGUGUAGCUGUCUGUCUCUGAGGACAUCAUCUCAAUAGAACUCCUUUUUGUUUGUUUUUUCUUUUCCAUCUCUUUGGGAAGUCCUUUGUCCCAGCAGGUUUUCAGUUCAGGCUCAGCUUUCCAUCCCAAGAGAUUUGAGGGAGGGCAAAGGAGGAAUGGGUGACAGGUUAGAGCCCACAGGAUUCAAGAACAAUGUUCCCCACCUUGCUGGUGCCUGACAGAGGACUGCUGCUGGCAUGGAGGUGACCACACAUACUCUUGGUAUCCCCAAAACUCCUGCCGUGGACUCCUUAUGCAUCCCUUGGGAGGGUGGUUCUACAGAGUAGAAACUGGCACAGUGACACUGAGGUAUUAAAUCUGAUGCAUUUAGAAUGUCUCUGGACUAAAUAAUUGCACUGACAUUUUCCAGGAUUCGUGGAGUUUUGGAUUUUUUUUGUUUGUUUUUAGAGCUUUGGUACACCAAUACAAAACAAAGGUUUUUCCUUUUAAAGGACACUACAUUAUUUCUAGAGGCUGGAUCUUCAAUCAAUGACUUAAUCUUACUUAUCUGAAAUACUUUGUCUGCUGACACAUCACAGUGCUGUACUAGCUUGAAAAAGAAAUCUAAUUCUAUCAAAUCUGCCAGCUCAGUUAAUAUGACUGCCAGGGAAGCAUAAGGCAUCACCUCCAGUUCUUUUAGGAAGGUAUCAGAUUCCCGCUGCCAGCUCAAAUUCAAAGCACAGUACACGUGGCCAGGCUUGGAUUUUAAAAAUAUUUUCCAAGGUACUUCUUGCAUCUUGGCAUGCAGAACUACAGAUCAAAUUGGACAAUAUCAUCUGAAUAUUUGGGUUGAAACACAGAAGUUUGAGUCCUACAGACAGUCCUUUGGGAUUAGUCUUGAAGCAGAGACCUGUGUUACUUUACCCUGAGACUUCUGCAAACCCA
rnacentral:lncRNA from 1 species